GAAAAAUGAGCGCAGCCUGAUGCAGCCAUGCCGCGUGAGUGAUGAAGGCCUUCGGGUUGUAAAGCUCUUUCGCCAGGGACGAUAAUGACGGGACCCGGCCAAGAAACCCCGGCUAACUCCGUGCCAGCAGCCGCGGUAAUACAAUACAA
rnacentral:rRNA from 1 species